GACAGAGGGUGCAAACGUUGUUCGGAAUUACUGGGCGUAAAGCGCGUGUAGGUGGCCAGGCAAGUCGGGUGUGAAAGCCCUGGGCUCAACCCAGGAAGUGCACUCGAUACUGCCUCGCUAGAGUCCCGGAGAGGUUGGUGGAACUCUCGGUGUAGAGGUGAAAUUCGUAGAUAUCGAGAAGAACACCGGUGGCGAAGGCGGCCAACUGGACGGUGACUGACACUGAGACGCGAAAGCGUGGGGAGCAAACAGG
rnacentral:rRNA from 1 species